rnacentral:lncRNA from 1 species
UAGUAUUAAGCCAAUUGAAAGAGACCUUAACAAAAUAUAUGUUUGUUUAAUACUAAAAUUCAACAAUGCUAACAAACUACAAAAUUUUAACCUAUUAGUCUUUGUAACACUCUUUAUAAAGUAAUUACCAAAAUAAUUGCUAAUAGGCUUAAGCCUUUACUAAGUAGAUUGGUUAGUGAACACCAGAUUAGCUUUCUGAAACAUAAACGACCUAGUAAUAAUGCUAUCAUUAUUCAGGAGGUCCUCAAACGUUUUAAUAAACAAACAAGGAAAUGAAAUUGGCUCCUAAAGUUGGACCUAGAAAAGGCUUUGGAUAAAUUGGAAUGGUCAUUUGUUUAUCAAGCUCUAAGGUUCCACAAUUUCCCUCCUAAUAUUUCUUCUCUUAUUUUGAGUUGUAUUUCUUCUACGUCUAUCUCAAUCCUUGUUAAUGGAAAUAAGACUAAGUAUUUCUGCCUUCAAGGGGUAUCAGGCAAGGCGACCAAUGUCACCCUACGUUUUUAUUUUAUGUAUGGACAUGCUAUCCAAAAAUAUUGAACAUCAAGUUGACACUCUCUCUUAUUCUGCGUUGUAUUUCUUCUAUGUCUAUCUCAAUCCUUGUUAAUGGUAAUAAGACUAAGAAUUUCUGCCCUUCAAGGGGUAUCAGGCAAGGAGACCCAAUGUCACCCUACAUUUUUAUCUUAUAUAUGGACAUGCUAUCCAAAAAUAUUUAACAUCAAGUUGACACUCUUUGAUGGGAUCCAAUACUAUUAAAUAGGCAAAGCCCCCCCCCCUCCCCCAAUCCCAUCCCAUUUAUUUUAUGCUGAUGAUCUAACAUUAAU